CCAAUGGGGUGCGUGGGACGAGGGACCGAGGGGCUGCCGGUGCGUUUCCCUGGGCUACCCGGCGGUGAACCUGUGGCCGAAGGGUGCGGUGAACUGCGCAGCCCGGAACUUGAGCCCUGAGACUUCGCACCGUGAGGAGCAAGGAUUUUCCAGGCUAAAGCAGGAGGGGGCGGGAAGACGAAGAGGAGAGGGCAGAAAUGGGGGCUUUUACAUUUAGAGAGAGAAAGAAAGUUGUUGAGUAGUGGGGAAAGGUCUUGUGGGGAGUCCCGGCCUCACACUGGAGAGUUGAGUGUGUGCGUCCGGGGUGGCGAGGUGGGGAAGAUUCUUUGCUCUCGGCUCCUCGGCGGGAGGAACGGCGCUAUCCCUAGGAAUCCCCCAGGAAAUCCGGAUCUUCGCAGACAGGAUAGGUGAAAGAGAAUACACUCCAGUUGUGAAACACGCAUUUCGCAUCGCCGUUCUGUUUCCUUCCCUGAGAGCUCUCCUGGCUCGGACCUGCUUCCUGCAACGCUUUCCGCCUUCCCAGGCACCCCUCCCCCAGCCCUGUAGUUCUCUGUCCUUAAAGUUUAGGAACGAAUUGAGACAAGGCUUUCUGUACGUCGGGACAGGGGCUUCCCUGGUGGCACAGUGGUUAAGAAUCUGCCUGCCAAUGCAGGGGACAGGGGUUCAAGCCCUGGUCGAGGAAGAUCCCACAGCCGCAGGGCAGCUAAGCCGGUGCACCACAACUAUUGAGCCUGCCGUCUAGAGCCCCCGCUCGCAGCCAGCGCACUGCAACGAAGAGUCGCCCCUGCUUACCACAACUAGAGAAAAGCCCACGUGCAGCAACGAAGA